CACAAUCAAGAGCAGGAAAUUGAAUUUGCUGAGGUGUAUUUGCCCUCAGGAGAAAUAAGGAAAAGCAAGGCUAUGGCCUGCCAUGGGGAUUAGAGGCUCACCAGGUUUUGAAGCUUCCGCAGGAAGAAGUUCAGCAGGAAGGAUUUGCCACAACGUUGCUGUCCGACAAUGCUGAUAAAGCAGAUGGGGGCAUCCUUCACCUGCCCCUGCUCCAAGCACAAGCUAAGGGUCACCUCAUCCAGGAAGAGACCGGCAUCCUCCUCCAAACCCACCAGCUGCACUGGUUGUCCUGUCUGCCGUGGAGCUGUUGACAUCUCCUGCGACAGAUGGAACCAGGCUUCGCAUCCUAGUGUCUGGUGCCAUCAUCUCUCGAUUGCAAGGACGGCAGCACUCAGGACAAUGGUACCCACGACCCGAGAACUUGCUCCAAUGGGUGGAGAGGCAGUCCCUGCAGAAAUUGUGCCCACAGUCAAUGGAGACGGGGUUUACAAAGGGCUCCAGGCAGAUGGAACAUGUGAUGUCUUCUUGUAGCUCCUGCAACAUGUCUUCUUUAUGGGGAAUGAUGGUGAGCUUGGACUGCAUGACACACAGAGAAAGUAGACUGCUAAGCUGCUGGAGACAUGGAAACUGAGGUUCUAUAUCUGUGUCUAGCAGGGGAAUCCUUUGCUAAAGCAAGGAUUCUGGGUGUGACCAUUUCCCCCCACUGAUGCACCAGGAAAAGGAUUCAACAUGCUGUUGUUGCUUCUUGCUGAGGUGCAUUCUAGGAGAAGAAGAUGGAGCAGCUAAGUUGCUGGAGCCCAGAAACCUGGCUUCUAUUUCUGGCUGUAGCUGUAGAAACCUGUUAGGUGAAGCAAAUGAUUCUGGGAGACAGGAAUCUCCACCUCUCUGAAUAUGGAAUAUUCAGUGGCAUGCAGGUGAAUCAUUUAAAAGCCACAAUCCUUGCAUACUGUUCCUGAUUGUGGGAGAGAUAUUUGGCCUAAUAACAUUUGAGUAGGCAAGGGUUAUUGGCCUUUUGAGAA